rnacentral:rRNA from 1 species
GACGAACCGUCCUAACGUUGUUCGGAAUCACUGGGCUUAAAGGGCGCGUAGGCGGGCAGCCAAGUCUGAGGUGAAAUCUUUCGGCUUAACCGGAAAAUAGCCUUGGAUACUGGCAGUCUCGAGGGAGGUAGGGGCAUGUGGAACUUCCGGUGGAGCGGUGAAAUGCGUUGAUAUCGGAAGGAACGCCGGUGGCGAAAGCGACGUGCUGGACCUCUACUGACGCUGAGGCGCGAAAGCCAGGGGAGCAAACGGG